AUUUGAGAAACUUAAGUCUACAUUUGUUCGAAGAGCCACUGAGUUUUUAAGAAACUACUUUGCUAGUUUGGUGGAUUUUAUGGUAAGUGACAAGAGUUACUUUUCUCAGCGGGGACAGUUGAAAAGGCCUGACCACGCUGAUUUGCGGUAUAAAUGCAGAACUUAUGCACGCCUCCUGCAACAUUUAAAGAGUCUUGACAAGAAUUGCUUGGCUCCAUUGAGAAAAGCUUAUUGCAGCUCCCUCAACUUACUUCUUUUGUAAGACCUGAUUUUUUUCCCCCUAAAACAUGCAUACAUAUACUUAUACAUACAUAUGCUGUAUAUAUAUAUAUUAUACACGCUGCUUUAAAAAAAAAAAUUGAAAGGGGAGCAUGGCUCCACGUGGCCUA